UAUUAGGUUGGUGCAAAAAUAGUCACGGUUUUUGCCAUUGCUUUUACUUACCUUUAAUGGCAAAACCGCAAUUACUUUUGCACCAACCUAA
rnacentral:miRNA from 10 species